rnacentral:lncRNA from 1 species
UUUUUUUUUUGUGCCCCCCCUCCCCCGCCCCCCCACCUGCCCUGCAUAAUGAUUAUUUUUAUUCCAUCCAACAUGCAUACAGUGUUUACUCCAUGCCAGGCAUGGCCCUAAGAAUUUCACAAACAUCAACUCAUUUAAUACUUAUAAUAAUUCUAUUAUAUAGGUGCUGUUAUUAUAUCCAUUUUACAGCUACGGAAACUGAGGCUUAGAGAGGUCAAGCAACUUCCCCAAGGUCAUACGCUUCUGUCAGUUUCCUUUAAUCACAUCAAGCCUACAUCAUCAAGUUUGGCAGUGUGAUGAAUGAAAAGUCCAGGUGGGGCCAGGAAGUGGGACUUCUCAGCCUUGACGCUUCCCUUUGGGGCCUUUUCACUAAGUACAGGGCCACUGGCGUGCUCACCUAGCGGGUGUGGUGUGGUGGGGGAGUGCUGUUCUCUCUUCUGCUGGCCUUCAUGACUCUUCUAUAAAUCUAAGCAAGAAAGUUCCAAGUAAGCAGAUGUUUUACAAGAGGCUUCAUUAAAGUUUGUGGAAACGAAGAGGGAAGCUGAGUUUGCUACAGGUUCACCUCCUGGCCUAGCUUUUGGCCAACAUCCCUGGGAUAGAGGACAUUGGUGCCUUACCUCUCCUGACUUCACUUAUCUGUGAUGUUUCCUCCACAUCCUGGAGAGUGAAGCCCAGAGAGAAAACGAGCCUCCCUUCUGUUCAAGGCCCACCUCCCACACUCUGGUUUCUUGUCUCAUUCCACGGUGGUGUCACUGGGAGUGACCAGCUCCUACUCAUUGUGAAAUAGACUUACUUCAUGACCACAGACCAAUCUUAUCAUAUGGCUGAGGUGCCUGCAAAUUCCAAAGGCGUGCACUUCCAGAGGCAGGGCAGGGGGGCUUUCUGUUAGAUGUAACCUGGAGGUUUUGUUUGUUUGUUUGUUUUUGUGAGUAAAGAACAGGAACAGCUAGGGCUUCCUAUGUCUUGAUCCAUCCUUCCCUUCAGGGUGUUUGGACUGGGGAACUAAGGAAGUCAGUCUCAGGAUUGGUUCUGCCUUGGGCUCUUCUGAAUGAGAAACAAGGCCAAAAUCCUUGGCAGGGUCCUCUCAGUACAGAAAAGGGUUCAAUCUUCAUGCUAUCACCUCUAUGAUGUGAUAAAGAAGAAUGUGUUACUACCUAAUAUACCCUCCAAGACCUUUUGACUCCUUCAAGUGUAUAAAUUCUCACUGAUUUGACAAGAUUGAUUUUCUACCCUUUACUUUGCAAAAUCCAUUGUGAGACCGAAGCAAGUAAAAUUGAUUUCUGCUCACUUCCUUUCCCACCUAAGGCCUCUUUGCUCAUUCCUGAAGAUAUGAGAUUUUCUAACUUUCAAUGCCCUUUUGAAAAGCUUGGGGUUUUUUUAGUACAGUAAAAAUCAGAUGGUUCUACAGGUCUGUGUGGGAAUUUUAAUGUGAUAUUCUAAGUGUUGAUGUGUCAUUCAUUCAAGAAGACACCUCUGUUGUAUCAUACUUGGAAGCCUAAGUAUUUACAUUGUAAAUGUUGAGCUAUGACCAUGAAAACUGGGGAUAGUAUAGUAUCACCUUGAUUUUCAUUCAAUUCACAUUUUGUGCAUUUCGCUUAAGGAUGUGCUUCAGAAAGCCAGUGGUAGAAAUUUAUUCCUCUGAGUUGCAUUGUACAGAAUCAAAUGUAGCGGGUCUGCAUUUUAUUUUUCAACAUAAGGUUUAAAGAAUGUCCUUUUUAGUUCUCUAAAGAGAAUUUAAUUGAUUCUUAACCACCAUCAGCCUGGCUGGAAAUUCAACAUUAGUCACAAUAUGGGCUCCACUGAAGGGUUAAGCAGAGAUAUCACGGGUUUGUGUUGCCCAGAACAUACAAGAAGGGCCCUUUGGUCUUAGGUCCAGGUGGCCGCUAAUGAUGUUUGUAGUCUAGGCCCAUGUGGUUCUUUGGAGGCAGGAGGCUCCGAGGCAACCAUGUAACAUAAUGCUCAGGCUGGGGCUGGGAGCCCUAGUGCCUGAGACCCAGCCUUCCUACAGAGACCCUGUAGCCACUCCCUCUUAAUGCUGUGCCACCUCUCCAACACAAGCUGUUAUGUGGGAAGAGGACAUGAGCACCAGCUUCUGGGACCCAUUCCCAAACCCCAGAUCCCCUUUAGUCUUGGAGAAUUAAAGUCUCUCCAUGUUAGCAAACUCUACCCUAGGUCUCCAAGUGCUCUCUGUCUUCUAAUCCUGGGAAAAUCUAGCAUAAUUCCCUCAGUGAGUUUCAGAGAUGCAAGCCAAGAAAGUGGGCACUCAUCACAGAAGGCACCUGCCUCUGGGGAACCAUAACCUUCAACUCUGCAGCACAAAUGUUCCUGAGCCCAGGGAAAUACAAGCUUGGAUAAUUUCUAUUCGCCAACAAAACAGAAAAAGUGAUUAUAGGGAGGUGACUUUGGAGGUUGGAGAAUAAGAAAGAUGUAAAGUAAUUGUCUCCAAGAGUGGGAAAGUUAACGUUACUAGAUAAACAUGGUAGGCUUGUUAGGUAUGUUGAGUGCCCACUUGAGCACCGUGGUCAUGCUUGUUUUCCUCCAGCCAUAUUUAGUGCUCAGGUACAGCUGUAGCUUGGGUAAAGAACCGGGAAAGAGGAACAAUGGAGUUAAGGGGAGUAUCCAAGAGUAUGACUGCUGUCUAAACUGCGCAAGGAGGGAUAGGAGGACUUGCGAGGGCAGGGAUGGUGUAUGGUGAAAAAGUGAUAGGGUCAAUGGACUGGAGGUUCUAGUGGUCUCAGUGAGUCAAAGAACUAUUGGUGUCUGGGGUACUAGAGUGAGUGAAUUAGAGAGAGAGAGAGGGCUUGAUGGUUAGUGAGAGGCUCGAAAUCAAGAUUUUACAGGUAGUUUGGUUAUUGGAGAUGGCAGACUCUAAGAGAAAGUGGGUGGAUUAAGUGAUGUAGAUGAGAAGAUUAUUGGAAGUGAAGACUUCAAGGGACAGAGACGCUAGGAUGCAGGGUGAAUUGUCUUCGCUAUGAGUGGAAAAGUUGUCAAGAACAAUGACAAGCAUCAACGAUUAAAAGGAAGAUAGAAAUGGCUUUUAUCCAAAAGACAGACAAUAACAAUUUCUGGCAAGGAUGUGGAGAAAAGGGAACCCUCAUACACUGCUGGUAGGAAUGUAAAUUAGUGUAACCACUAUGGAGAACAGUUUGGAGGUUUCCCAAAAAACUAAAAUUAGAGCUACUAUAUGAUCCAACAAUCUCAUUCUGAGGUAUAUAACCCAAAAGAAAAGAAAUCAGGAUAUAGAAGAGAUAUCUGCACUCCCAUGUAUAUUGCAGCACCAUUCAUAAUAGCCAAUAUUUGGAAGCAACUUAAGUGUCCAUCAACAGAUGAAUGAAUAAAGAAAAUGUGGUACAUACGCACAAUGGAGUACUAUUCAGCCAUAAAAAACUGAGAUCCUGUCAUUUGCAACAAUAUAGUUGGAUCUAAUAACCUGACGUUUCUUUUCUUUUCUUUUUUUUCUUUUUUCUUUUUUUUUUUGAGACGGAGUCACGCUCUGUCGCCCAGGUUGGAGUGCAGUGGCGCGAUCUCGGCUCAUUGCAACCUCCGCCUCCCGGUAAUAACCAGACAUUUCUUGAUGACCACAACAAGGAGGAGUGGGGGGUUGUGUCCUCUGAUGGUAUGUAUGUAAAAAAACCUAGAUGUUUGACAGAGAAGAACAAGAAAUGAUCUAAAACAGAGGUUGACAAACAAUGGUUAGCAGACGGAAUCCAUCUUGCCACCUGUUUUUGUAAAUAAAACUUUAUUGGCAAUUGGCUACACCCAUUAAUUUACAUAUUGUCUAUGGCUGCAUCAGCAUGUCAGAAGAGUUGAGAGGUUGUCACAGAGAGCAGAUGGCCUGAAUAACUUAAAUUAUUUACUAUCUGGUCCUUUACAGAAAAAGUUUUCUGACCCUGAUCUAUAAUUAGCAAUGAAGAGCAAAACAUUAACCUCACAAUGAGAAGUAAGCACAAUUAAUAUAACAAUAAUUUUUAUUGCCACACGAAUGUCAAAUCCUUCUGCUCCUUCUGCUCUAGAUCAUCAGAUCAAACAUUUUGGCUCAGUUGAUUUUUUUCAUGGUCAAUCUAUUCAUUGGAUGGCUGAAAUGAUAGAAUGGCUGCUUGUUUUACCUUUAUGUAUGUAUAUAUUUUUUCUUUUGAGCCUAAGCCAGCUUACAUGAUUGAUUUAGAGGUAAAUUUCAUAAUGUGCAGAUCCAGAGCACCAUUCAUUUAAAAAGUAAACUGCAGACUAUGGCACUAUUCUUUGGUUUGUUAUGGUACUGAGUAAAGAUGCUAGUGGAUAUGUCUUCCAUGACUGAUUUCCUAUUCAAUCUUACCUUGUUCCCUGUUGUUAGUCCUGAGAAUAUGAAACCAUCCUACAUUGCUUUGCCCACUGUCUAAUGAGACAGGGAUAGACAGCACUCUCAGGGUAGUCAAUCUGUAUGCUUAUCAGUGGUCACUGAUGUUUCUUCUUUGGAAAAUUUGAAUCAAGCAAUACAAAGACUCAGAGAAUGGACAACUGAGUCAGAUAAGUGGUAGGACACCAGAGUAAGUAUGCACGUAUGUGUAUUGUUAAACUUCCUGAAACUAUCUUCUUCAUUCCUGCUUUUCCUGGAACCUAUACAGCUUCCUCUUCCAGGAGAUCUUUAUCCUUUUACUUAACCUAACUUGAGUAGAUUCUAUUCGUUAGAAUCUAAUGAUUACUAAGAGCAUGUGAGUGUCCAGUUCUUGGUCAUAAGUGGGUCUAUUGGCUUGUCUCUUCCAGGAAUUCAGAUAAGAUGUGUUCCCCAGGCCAGCAGUCCUUCAUGCUGCUUGUCAUAAGGAGAAAAGAAUAUGGAGAGAGCAGCAUAGAUGCAAAUCAGCCUUUACUCGUUGGAAGACCAUUGCUGGCAGGAACCUAACUGAAACAGAGCCAACAGCUUAUGAAAAACAACCAGCCAGCAGCUUCUUCCCAACCAACUCAACAGCAAACCUGUAGCAUUGUGUGGCCAGGUGCCAUGGCUCACGCCUGUAAUCCCAGCACUUUUGGAGGCUGAGGCAGGAGGUUCGCUUGAGUCCAGGAGUUCAAGACCUAUAGCAUUGUGUAUUUUGCUUUUCAUCUUCUCUACUCUCCCUCUGGGAGUUUAAACAAUAGAACACUGAUUGGAAGACAGAAACAAGAUGUUAGGAAACUCGGGAAACCUGGAGCAAACAGUUGCCUCUGAAAGGAUUUCACUGCUUUUGAGAGGUGACAGCGUGCUGGCAGUCCUCACAGCCCUUGCUCGCUCUCGGCGCCUCCUCUGCCUGGGCUCCCACUUUGGCGGCACUUGAGGAGCCCUUCGGCCCGCCGCUGCACUGUGGGAGCCCCUUUCUGGGCUGGCCAAGGCUGGAGCCCACUCCCUCAGCUUGCAGGGAGGUGUGGAGGGAGAGGCGCGAGCGGGAACCGGGGCUGCAUGCGGCGCUUGCGGGCCAGCUGGAGUUCUGGGUGGGGGUGGGCUUGGCAGGCCCCGCACUCGGAGCAGCCGGCCAGCCCUGCUGGCCCCGGGCAAUGAGGGGCUUAGCACCCGGGCCAGUGGCUGCGGAGGGUGUACUGGGUCCCCCAGCAGUGACAGCCCACAGGCGCUGCACUCGAUUUCUCACCGAGCCUUAGCUGCCUUCCCUCGGGGCAGGGCUCGGGACCUGCAGCCAGCCAUGCCUGAGCCUCCCACCCACUCCAUGGGCUCCCAUGCAGCCCGAGCCUCACCAACGAGCACCACCCCCUGCUCCACAGCGCCCAGUCCCAUCGACCACCCAAAGGCUGAGGAAUGCGAGCACACGGCGCGGGACUGGCAGGCAGCUCCACCUGCAGCCCUCGUACGGGAUCCACUAGGUGAAGCCAGCUGGGCUCCUGAGUCUGGUGGGGACGUGGAGAGUCUUUAUAUCUAGCUCAGGGAUUGUAAAUACACCAAUCAGCACCCUGUGUUUAGCUCAAGGUUUGUGAGUGCACCAAUCGACAGUCUGUAUCUAGCUGCUCUGGUGAGGACGUGGAGAACCUUUAUGUCUAGCUCAAGGAUUGUAAAUACACCAAUCGGCACUCUGUAUCUAGCUCAAGGUUUGUAAACACACCAAUCAGCACCCUGUGUUUAGCUCAAGGUUUGUGAAUGCACCAAUUGACACUCUGUAUCUAGCUGCUCUGGUGGGGCCUUGGAGAACUUGUGUCGAAACUGUAUCUAACUAAUCUGAUGGGGACGUGGAGAACCUUUGUAUCUAGCUCAGGGAUUGUAAACGCACCAAUCAGCGCCCUGACAAAACAGGCCACUCAGCUCUACCAAUCAGCAGGAUGUGGGUGGGGCCAGAUAAGAGAAUAAAAGCAGGCUGCCCCAACCAGCAUUGGCAACCCGCUCGGGUCCCCUUGCACACUGUGGAAGCUUUGUUGUUUCGCUCUUUGCAAUAAAUCUUGCUACUGCUCACUCUUUGGGUCCACGCUGCUUUUAUGAGCUGUAACACUCACCGCGAAGAUCUGCAGCUUCACUCCUGAGCCCAGCGAGACCAUGAGCCCACCGGCAGGAACGAACAACUCCAGACACGCUGCCUUAAGAGCUGUAACACUCACCGCGAAGGUCUGCAGCUUCACUCCUGAGCCAGCGAGACCACGAACCCACCAGAAGGAAGAAACUCCGAACACAUCUGAACAUCAGAAGGGACAGACUCCAGACGUGCCACCUUAAAAGCUGUAACAUUCACCGUGAGGGUCCACGGCUUCAUUCUCGAAGUCCGUGAGACCAAGAACCCACCAAUUCCGGACACACUUUCACAUUGGAAAUGGGAUUUUCCCAUUUCAAAAAAUGAAUGUAAUUUGAUCAUUGGACUCACUAAUCACUUUUGAAUUCACUAAUCUUUUUAAUACAAUUCAAAGCAGUUGCUCUCAAACUGUAAAAUCACACACAGAAAUUGGAAAAAUACUGAUUUCCCAGGCCACAGACUUGAUGAUUUAGAAUCUCAAUCAGGGUGGGGAGUGGAGAGGAAGGGCAGACUCUAUAUUAAAAAAAAAACUCCUCAGAUUACUCUGAUACAGAUAAAUCUUAGGAAAUCAUUACUCUAGAGCAAAGAAGGACUUGGUUAUUAUUCAACAGGGUAGCACUCAAAGUUAAACUGUAUUUUCCAGACCAUCAGUCCAAAUGGAGGCUUCGACAGAGUAAUGUUUUCAGUGAUAAGCCAAAUCUCUGUAUCAGUGGUCCAUCGAAGCAGCUUACCAUCAAAUUUUGAGAUCCCCCAAACUCACUGCUAGUGUCCCUGACUGAAAACCCCUGUGGUG